AAGAUGAAGCUGAUUCUGACACUCUCCAUUAACUGGGCUCUUCUCCUCACAGUGGAAUCGUUGCUGUGUUUUGAAUGUGAACCACCAUGCACAAAUGAAGUUUUAACCAUCUGCCAAUAUCACUCAGACUCAGUAUGUCUGACACAUACCCUGUUCGUUGGUAGAACAAUUACAAAGGGAAAGUACUGCUCACAAUCGGUGGAGUGCAGAACACGUCUGAACGUUCAGCUGGAUUAUUCACUGAACUUCGGUGUCGAUCCGAUGUCUGAAUCUGUGCUCUGCUGUGACUCAGAUCGCUGCAACAAACAGACUCUACCUGUCCCCAGUCAAGAUCCAAACGGCCUACAGUGUGAUUCCUGCAGUAGCUACUCAGACACUGUGUGUAACACCCCGGCAAACUGUGUCGGACUGGAGGAUACAUGUGCUGUGAUCAAUGCAAGCACGGUUUUCUUCAAGGGCUGUAUAUCCUCAAAUCUGUGCAGUGCGUCUCUGAUGGCCACUUUUGUGCCUUCUGCAACUUAAGAUGGAAUUUCCUGCAGUCGUGUGAAGAAUAUCGCAGCCAGCACUACCAGUGUGCUGAAUAUCAUAUUCCCCACUGCUGGGACAGGUGGAAAGUAACAAAAUACAUUUACUCACGUUACUGAGUAGGCUAGUUUAGUUGUGUAUUUUGUAUUUUUCAAGUAGUUUUUUUUUAAUCAGUCAUUUAAAAUGUACUUGAUUACGUUUUGAGUGAGGUAUUGUAUUUCUCUACAUUAGAAAUCCCAUCCGUUGAGUAAAAAUAUGUUGUUCUGGAUUACCGUUUACUGCAAAGUGAUCAAGGAUGAACGCAACAAACUUUCAACAAAAAAUAAACUGCUGCUCAAAUUUAACAAUAAAUUUGUAGACUAGUCCUCUUAAAGGAGAAAUCUGCCG